UAUGGUGAUAUUUUUUGGAACCAAAAUUUGACCUGUAAAGUUUGGAAACGAGGGAAAAUAAAGCAGCUACAAGGACAGAGUUCAGUCUGGAUCUGAGUCCUGGUCCUGCACUUUGCAUGCCUGACACAUUUCGUGGACGUAAUCAAGGCAGCGCCCCGUGAUGAGGAAGUUAAUUAUGGGAACACAGAAGCAGACAGGGUUGUCCUUUGAAACUCUUAUUAUGGAAAUGGUUCUUCUCCAUGAGGGAAGAAGAAGAAGGACAGCAGAACCAGAAGGUGUGAAGUUAAUCCACAGAGAGAUGGACGGAGCAGCUCUCCUCUCGGCCCUCUGGGUAAACACGGAUCCAGGCUGCAGGGAUUACUCUGCUCCUUUAACCAGACCUGAGAGGGAGAGCCGCGGUCCAGCUGGUAUCAUCCACACACACUUUACAGACGUCAUGCUAAACCAACAGCCCCCACACACACACACACUAACACACACACACACACACACACACUCCUAACCACGAGAGGAAGGCCAAACAAACCAGACCAGACCACAUGGUGUGUGUGUGUGAGUGUGUGUGUGCAGAAGGGGGUGGGACAGGGUCAUGGAGGACUUUGAAGACACAAAAGCUUGGCCUCAGGCCUGCUGACCUUUGGGGUCACUUAAGGAGGCAAAGGAGGCAGAAUAGAAACACACACACACACACACACACACACACACACACACACACACACCACCUGCUGUUGGCGCGGGCUCGUGUUUGGUGUAAUGGAGAUGGAGUGAUUCUGCAGACACACAAAGACGACACAUUGCUGAGAUUUACCACAUAACUCUGGGCAAUAAAAGCUCCACAGCAACCCGGUCUGCAUCAAGGGACGAGAAGUGUUUACAGUGAACGCAGGACUGUAGUUAGAGGUUGCAUAAGUGAUACCUGUGCUAACUUCUGUUUAUUCUGCUGUGCAUAUAUGGUGUUAAUCUUAGCUGACUGGGUCCUACAGGUCUUAUUAAGGCCUUAAUUUGAUCUUAGUAUGUGAGCAGUAACCCUGUAAGAAACAGAAACCUGCACAUGAACGACCCUCUUCUAUUUCCUUCUUGCAGUUUUGAUCUCUGAAAGUAGAAAAGAUGACCAGAGAAGCUUUUUUCAAUUUCAUUUGCAUGUACUAUGCAAGUGCCUUUCAAAAUAAAAGCUUAUUUCUAACAGCUGCACACUAA